rnacentral:rRNA from 1 species
UACGUAGGGCGCAAGCGUUGUCCGGAAUUAUUGGGCGUAAAGAGCGUGUAGGCGGCCAGGGAGGUCCGUUGUGAAAACUCGAGGCUCAACCUCGAGACGCCGAUGGAAACCCCCUGGCUAGAGUCCGGAAGAGGAGAAUGGAAUUCCUGGUGUAGCGGUGAAAUGCGCAGAUAUCAGGAAGAACACCCGUGGCUAAGGCGGUUCUCUAGUACGGUACUGACGCUGAGACGCGAAAGCGUGGGGAGCGAACAGG